rnacentral:rRNA from 1 species
GACGAACGCUGGCGGCGUGCUUAACACAUGCAAGUCGAGCGGUAAGGCUCCUUCGGGAGUACACGAGCGGCGAACGGGUGAGCAACACGUGAGCAAUCUGCCCUUCACACGGGGAUAACUUCGGGAAACCGAAGCUAAUACCCGAUACGACCACUUCAGGCAUCUGAUGGUGGUGGAAAGUUCCGGCGGUGAAGGAUGAGCUCGCGGCCUAUCAGCUUGUUGGUGGGGUAAUGGCCCACCAAGGCAACGACGGGUAGCCGGCCCGAGAGGGUGACCGGCCACACUGGGACUGAGACACGGCCCAGACUCCUACGGGAGGCAGCAGUGGGGAAUAUUGGACAAUGGGCGAAAGCCUGAUCCAGCAACGCCGCGUGAGGGAUGACGGCCUUCGGGUUGUAAACCUCUUUCAGCAGGGACGAAGCGCAAGUGACGGUACCUGCAGAAGAAGCACCGGCCAACUACGUGCCAGCAGCCGCCGUAAAAC